rnacentral:sRNA from 1 species
GAUCUAUCAUCUAGAUCUAGAUCUACGUCCUUCUCAGCUGCCAUAUCUAGAUGGAAGUAAAGUCUGUCCCACUCUAAACAGUUUAUUCAAGUCAUGCACUGAUAAGCAUUUGUUGAAAAUUGUAGGCCCUAGUUCUGAUUGCACCUUUUCAUGCUGAUUACAACUUUACAAGAUAAUCUACAACACAUACAUUAAAACAAAGAAGCUGAUUCUUACAUUUUAAGAAGGAUAAAGUUUGCAGGUAGGCCUACAGUAUUUUAGAGCAACCUAAUGUAUCACAACAGUAUUAGUUUAGUUUAUAUAAGAUUCAACUUAUAAUUUCAAAAGCGGACUUUUCACAAGUUAUUGAUAAUAAUUAGCAAAGUAAAAUGUUACGAUACCAGUAUUUCAGACAUUUGGCGGUAAACUGAGUUCUUGACAAGAAACAGAAUCUUGCCCAAUGCUUUUUUGUUAUUCACAUAAUUAAUUAAAAGUUAGAAAAUGUAUUAGACUGUCAUCAUUUAGCUGCAAAUGAAUGUAACAACAUGUAAAAUGUUUGUGAAAAAAAUUAGAUGACGUAUACAACAUGGAAUCUUAUAGGAGCAUGUGUUCCUUUAGUAGUAUUACUUAAACCAUUAGCUUAGACUAAAAAUUUAAAAUAUUUUAUAAGAAUUAAACAUGUUAACUAUGUUGAGGUAAGUCAGACUAAAUUUUUACUAGUUUAAUGACAAUUUAUGACUAAUAUCUAGAGCUAAAGGUCUGCGGUUACUUAAUUGAAGAAGAGAUAAUCUAUAUGGCAUUCAGGUAAUCACAGACAAAUAAUCUACCAAUAAUUUGAUCUCCGGUCACCUAAUCCCCCUAGUCUUUUAAUCCCUAGGCACUUAAAUUAAAACAAUUGUUAAUUAUCCACCUUCUCCUUUAUCUGUCAGUAGUCUCUUUGACUGUUUGGGUACCUCUAGUGAUCUGUUGCUGUUUUCAACCAUCCUUAUUGUUAAAGUCAGUGUUAGUUCCCCCCCCCCCUCUCCUUUGAUGUUUUGUUCUUAUUGUUUCUUUUCCCUAGCUCUAUUUUUCUGUUGCAAUUAGUUUUCUCCAUUGAUUUGCAUUGAAAUAGUGUUCAUGCUAGGAACCAAACUUGCAGCUAUGUUUCUGCUUCAUCCAGGUUAGCUACACUGUGAACUAAACACAGAUAUACUCACACAGAUAUACUCACAUGGAUAU